rnacentral:rRNA from 1 species
CCUACGGGAGGCAGCAGUGGGGAAUAUUGCACAAUGGGGGAAACCCUGAUGCAGCGACGCCGCGUGAGGGAAGAAGUAUUUCGGGAGGUAAAGCUCUAUCAGCAGGGAAGAAAAUGACGGUACCUGAUUAAGAAGCCCCGGCUAACGACGUGCCAGCAGCCGCGGUAAUACGUAGGGGGCAAGAGUUAGCCGGAUUUACUGGGUCGAAAGGGAGCGUAGACGGCAGCACAAGUCUGGAGUGAAAUGCCGGGGCUUAACACAGGAACUGCUUUGGAAACUGUGCAGCUAGAGUGCAGGAGAGGUAAGUGGAAUUCCUAGUGUAGCGGUGAAAUGCGUAGAUAUUAGGAGGAACACCAGUGGCGACGGCGGCUUACUGGACUGUAACUGACGUUGAGGCUCG